CAAAGGAAGAAUAUACCUUCCUCUCCAAACACAAAAGCAGAGCCUGAUAGCGCAGAGGGAAGCCUGCGAGCUCAGCCUCUUUUCACUUUCAAGGAAGAAGAAUCCAACCAGAUGUGUACCCAGGAUCUAGAUAGUACACACAAUUCCCCUCUGCAAGGUCAGCUGGCUGGACGAGACUAUAAGGAUAUCAUCAGUAACAUUUCAGACAGGUCACAGAAAUAUGCAGAAUGUGAAGGCUGCAGAAGAGGGAGUCAGCAGCCUGGGGCAGACAACCAGAAUGAUG